rnacentral:rRNA from 1 species
GACGAACGCUGGCGGCGUGCUUAACACAUGCAAGUCGAACGGUAAGGCCCUUCGGGGUACACGAGUGGCGAACGGGUGAGUAACACGUGGGUGAUCUGCCCUGCACUUCGGGAUAAGCCUGGGAAACUGGGUCUAAUACCGGAUAGGACUCCUGGCUUCAUGGUUGGGGGUGGAAAGCUUUUGCGGUGUGGGAUGGGCCCGCGGCCUACCAGCUUGUUGGUGGGGUAAUGGCCUACCAAGGCGACGACGGGUAGCCGGCCUGAGAGGGUGACCGGUCACACUGGGACUGAGAUCCGGCCCAGACUCCUACGGGAGGCAGCAGUGGGGAAUAUUGCACAUUGGGCGCAAGCCUGAUUCAGCGACGCCGCGUGAGGGAUGACGGCCUUCGGGUUGUAAACCUCUUUCAGCUAUGACGAAGCGCAAGUGACGGUAGUAGCAGAAGAAGGACCGGCCAACUACGUGCCAGCAGCCGCCGUAACAC